AUUGAACGCUGGCGGCAUGCUUUACACAUGCAAGUCGAACGGCAGCGCGGGCUUUGGCCUGGCGGCGAGUGGCGAACGGGUGAGUAAUGCAUCGGAACGUGCCCAGUAGUGGGGGAUAGCCCGUCGAAAGCCGGAGUAAUACCGCAGACGACCUGAGGGUGAAAGCGGGGGAGCGAAAGGCCUCGCGCUAGUGGAGCGGCCGAUGUCGGAUUAGCUAGUUGGUGGGGUAAAGGCUUACCAAGGCGGCGAUCCGUUGCUGGUCUGAGAGGACGACAAGCCACACUGGGAGUGAGACAGGGCCCAGACGCCUGCGGGAGGGCGCAGUGGGGAAUUUUGGACAAUGGUGGCAACCCUUGUCCAGCCAUGCCGCGUGCGAGAAGAAGGCCUUCGGGUUGUAAACCGCUUUUGUUCGGUGAGAACUCCUUUGGGCUAAUACCCCGGGGGGAUGACGGUACCGGAAGAAUAAGCACCGGCUAACUACGUG
rnacentral:rRNA from 1 species